rnacentral:lncRNA from 1 species
AAGUCUCAGGAUUGUGGCCGCGGGUGAGGUGGAUGGGAGAGGGGAGAAUGACUUUCACUGGGCAAGGGAGAGAGGCUCCUGCUCUGAGACUCCCCUGAGAAGAGGCCGAAGGAGGCCCUGGGUGUGAGAAUCUACAGGAUGUAGAGCUGGGAAUCAGCCGGGACCCCCUCCAGCAGACACGGAGGGACCACUGCAGAGUCAUAAAGGAAUUCCCAUCAUUUCCUCAUGAGACAGUCACA